rnacentral:rRNA from 1 species
GAUAAACGCUGACAGAAUGCUUAACACAUGCAAGUCGAUGAUGGGAGCUAGCUUGCUAGAAGAAGUCAUGGCGGACGGGUGAGUAACGUGUAAAGAACUUACCAUAUAGACUGGGAUAACAGAGGGAAACUUCUGAUAAUACUGGAUAAGUUAGUAGUAGCAUUACUAAGUAAUGAAAGGUAGCAAUACGCUAUAUGAGAGCUUUGCAUCCUAUUAGCUAGUUGGUGGGGUAAAAGCCUACCAAGGCGAUGAUAGGUAGCCGGCCUGAGAGGGUGGACAGCCACAAGGGGACUGAGAUACGGCCCUUACUCCUACGGGAGGCGGCAGUGGGGAAUAUUGGACAAUGGAGGCAACUCUGAUCCAGCAAUUCUGUGUGUGUGAAGAAGGUUUUAGGACUGUAAAACACUUUUAGUAGGGAAGAAAGAAAUGACGGUACCUACAGAAGAAGCGACGGCUAAAUACGUG